rfam:Oryza glumipatula chromosome 4, whole genome shotgun sequence.
UUUAAGUGUAGAUUUUCAUGUUCAAUGUUUGACCGUUUAUAUUAUUUAAAAUUUAUUAUGAUUAGUAUUUUUAUGAUUAGAUGAUAAAACAUGAAGAGUACUUUAUGCGACUUUUUUUUUUUAAUUUUUUCAUAAAUUUUUUAAAUAAAAUGGAUAAUCAAACGUUAGACACGAAAAUCCAUAACUAUACUUAAA